GAUAAACGUUGGCGGCGUGCUUUAUGCAUGCAAGUCGAACGGUCAAUCGCAAGAAAGAUAGUGGCAAACGGGUGAGUAAUACGUAAGUAACCUACCCCUAAGUGGGGAAUAAUUCGCCGAAAGGCGGACUAAUACCGCAUGUGGUGGUUCUUCACAUGAAGAAUCAAGAAAACCGCAAGGUGCUUGGGGAGGGGCUCGCGUCCGAUUAGCUAGUUGGUGAGGUAACGGCCCACCAAGGCGAGGAUCGGUAGCUGGUCUGAGAGGAUGUCCAGCCACACUGGGACUGAGACACGGCCCAGACUCCUACGGGUGGCAG
rnacentral:rRNA from 1 species